GACUCGAGCGAAGCGAGAGAACGUUGCGUCAGCAACGGCCCGCAGGGCGAGCCACGCAGUGGCGAGUCAUCCUCUAUCACCGACCA
rnacentral:sRNA from 1 species